rnacentral:rRNA from 1 species
GAAUAUUGGACAAUGGGGGGAACCCUGCUCCAGCCAUGCCGCGUGUGUGAAGAAGGCCUUUUGGUUGUAAAGCACUCUAAGCGAGGCGGUAGCACCUCUACUUAAUACCUAUAGAUAGUGGACGCUACUCGCACACUAAGCACCCGCGAAUUCUGUGCCAGCCGCCGCGGUAAUACAGAGGGUGCAAGCGUUAAUCGGAUUUACUGGGCGUAAAGCGCGCGUAGGUGGCCAAUUAAGUCAAAUGUGAAAUCCCCGAGCUUAACUUGGGAAUUGCAUUCGAUACUGGUUGGCUAGAGUAUGGGAGAGGAUGGUAGAAUUCCAGGUGUAGCGGUGAAAUGCGUAGAGAUCUGGAGGAAUACCGAUGGCGAAGGCAGCCAUCUGGCCUAAUACUGACACUGAGGUGCGAAAGCAUGGGGAGCAAAC